AUAAACGCGUGGGUAUUGGGAAAAUGAGAUGGAGCGGCUGGAUAAGGGCUGACUUGUUGCUUCGCUCCAAUCGCAAAGCCACAAUCGGUCUGCUUUGGUCGGCUGCCGUCUCAUGAGUUCUGCUCAAAUGAAGUGACUAAAGUUAUGCGCAAUUUUGACGCGAUUUUUUUGUGCUGAAACCAUGGAUCCAUGUUGUUCCGGUGCGGUUAUUUCCGACAAAACAGACCCGAUAGCACACAACUACAUAGGUUGAUUGUGCGUUCUCACGAUUCGUAUUUUACGGAAUUGGCGCUUACAGCGUUUUUCAGACACGAUCGUGCAUUUGUGUUUGCCAGGCUAUCUAUAAUUCCUUAACAUCUGGCCCCGAGAUUUGUUCAUAUUUUCUGUUUUUUUUUGCCACAGUGCGAAAUUACAAAUUGUUUGUUCGUAACGCAGUUCGCACUUCGCAGAGCUUGAAUUAUUAAACGGUUAAAAAUUAGAAAAUAAUUUUGCUUUUUAUUUCGAACGGCUUUUGCCUUUUGUCGUCUCGUAAACGGAUACACUCUAAGCGGUUCACCGCCCUGGGUGGCGGCUUACUGCAACAGCACUGGCACCAUUGGUCACCAGCCUGACCACCCCAUGAUGCCGGCCAGUGCAUUUAUUGUUGUGCUGUUGGCUCGUCUUAGGCCUUGGAUUUGGUUGCCUCGCGAAUCCGUUUACCUAUUUGGUCUGACACCGUGACACGGACAACAUUAAACUCAACAGUUCUCAAUAAGUCAUUACAUUAAAUUUUUCUGAAGCGGUACUGCUGGCGGAAUGGCAGGCAAACCGACGAUUGUCCGUAAUCUGGCUUAAUUUCCUCGAGGAUUGAUACAGGAGCGAAUUGCCAGUUUGCUGCUUGAUUGGAAUUCGGCUUUUGGCGGACCGCCGUCCGCGGAGUGUUAAUAUUCUAAGAAAUUGUCUGGAUCUGACGGCAUGCUCGACCAGCACCAUGCAGUGGUUGCGGCGGUUUCUUCGGACGCGGCUGGGCCUGGUAACGGGGGUGCUGGUGAUGGUGGGCUUGCUUUGCGUGAUGCAGAUCGCCCGACUGCAGAGUCCCUACGAUCCCAUCGGGGAGAUUCGCGUUAAACUGGAAGCGGCCUAUGCCACUGCGUCCAGCUCGGUGAUGCUGGAGGAGACCACGUCGCUCGCGGUCGCAGCCAUAUCCGCUAAUCGCUCCCAGCGGCAGCUUUUGCACAGGCAACACAAAUCUGAUUCAUCGCAAACCAAAGCACGUGCCAAAUUACCGCCAAAAAUGGAUUUCGCUUUUCCGAUAUCCCGGACAAAUGUCUGUUUUGGUGAUUCUCCUCCAAAUGAUCUGUUUCUCCUUAUUAUUGUUCACUCAGCCGCUUCGCAUUUCCAUAACCGAGAAUUGAUUCGUGAGACAUGGGCGAAUGAAGUUUGGCGCCGGAAACAAGGUGCGGCUGUCCUGUUUAUUGUAGGAACACCAGUCAGCGAAGCUGUGCAGACCAAAGUAGUCAAUGAAUCCGUCACUUUCGGCGACAUCAUCCAGUAUAAUUAUCUAGACACGUACCGCAACAUGACCCACAAGAACCUAGCCGGCCUCACUUACAUCUCCCAGUUCUGCCAGACACUCCCCUUCUCCUACAUCCUGAAAACCGACGACGACAUGUUCGUCUAUCUGCGUCCCAUCGUGGCCCAUCUGCGCCAGUAUGAAUACUGCCAUCCGCACGCCACGCGCACCAUCCUCUGCGCGGAACUGCAGCGCCGCGAAGUGGUGCAGCGGGAUCGCAAGGGCAAGUGGUUCGUCGCGUGGGAGGACUUCCCGGAUAAACACUAUCCGCCCUACUGCUACGGAGGCGGUUACGUGCUGACCCGCGAUUUGGUGGAGGGGCUGCUGAGUGCGGCCGGGAAGGUGCCCUUUUACUGGAUCGACGAUGUGUUCGUUACGGGGCUGACGGCCAAGGCGUUGGGUGGUGUCCAGCAUGUACAGUUUCCCGGCCAAAAUCCCAUCAAAGGAUAUGUGUGUGAUGUGAAGUGCAUGCAGACGAAUCGACGGUGGUUCAUGCAUACGCUGCAGAGGGCGGACAUGAUAAAGAAUUAUUACCGAGUGGUCAAGGAUUACGGUCUGGUCCACGAUAACAUCGAUCCCGAAGGCUGCCCGGCAACGAAAAGUGGAAGGCGGUGAUGAAAAGUGUCUGCCAAACCGAGAGUUACGAUUAUAUUGAUGCAUGGAUUGCGAUAACGGUGUUUCUUCUUUCAGUGGCAGAUGGUUGUUUGAGUUUUUAAUUUUUUAUAUAGAUAUUUGUGACGCCGUUGAAGAAAGUUUCUCUGAUCGUUUAUGUUGGUUGUUGAGUGUUGACUGCAAUACUACCUGGUUUGAAUACAACGAUCCUGUUCUUCCGGUGCUGACGUAAGACAACCAAACGCAAGAACAGUACUGUGAACAAAAAGGCGAUUUAAUCAGGGACAAUAAAAGCUAUAUGCGGCUACUUCCC